rnacentral:rRNA from 1 species
GUGCAUGACCACGUCUUCGGCCCGAAUGCCUCGACCCCAAAGGUGUUCCUCGUACCUCGACGAUGACCCCAGGGCAGGCGGGAUCACCCACUGAGUUUAAGCAUAUCAAUAAGUGAAGGAAAAGAAACUUACAAGGAUUUUCCUAGUAACGAUGAUCGAAUUGAUGAAAGCCCAACUUGAGAAUCGAAUGGCCCUACCAUUCGAAUUGUAGUCUGGAGAAACAUCCUCAAUGGUGGACCGAGCUCAAACCUUGUCGCAUGACGAGGCGCUAUUAACCAGUCAGAUUGUUUGGAAAUGUAGCCCAAUUGGGCUGUAAAUUUCAUCCAGUGCUAAAUACAGGUGAGAGACCGAUAGCAAAUAAGUACCAUGAGGGAAAGAUGAAAAGAACUUUGAAAAAAGAGUCAAAGAGUGCUUGAAAUUGUCUGAAGGGAAGCGAAUGGGGGUCGGUGAUGCAUCCCGAUAGGAUGUGGAAUGACGACGAGUCGAUCCGUCGAUCGACUCAGGGUGUGGACCAGCACAAAUUGAGGAGGUGACCAACGCUUAGGCAAUCGACAUGCCCAUGAAAUGUCGUCGUCCUGAUUAUGGGGGACAGCGCGUACCCUUAGCAUGCCUCAACACCUACGUACUCUCGGUGCUGGCCUACGGGCUCCCCAUUCGACUCAUCUUGAAAUACUGCCCAAGAAGUAUGACAUGUGUACGAGUCAAUGGCCGAGUAAACCCGUAAGGCGCAAGGAAGCUGAAUGGGGUGAUCCCUUCGAGGGGUGCAACACCGAUCGACCUUGAUCUUUUGAGAAGGGUUUAAGUGAGGGCAUACCUGUUAAGACCCAAAAGAUGGUGAACUACUCCUGAGAGGAUCGAAGCUAAAACAAAUUGGUGGAGGCCCAUAGUGAUACUAAUGUACAAAUCAUUCAUCUGACAUGGGUAUAGAGACGAAAGACUAAUCGAACCAUCUAGUGGCUGGUUCCCUCCGAAGUUUCCCUCAGGAUACCUGGAGCAAAAGCACGAGUUCGAUCAGAUAAAAUCAACGAUUAGAGGCAUCGAGGGCACAACAUCCUCAGCCUAUUCUCAAACUUUAAAUAGGUAGGACGAUGCGACUGCUUUGUUGAGCCGCUCCACAAAAUCGAGAGCUCUAAGUGGGUCAUUUUUGGUAAGUAGAACUGGCAAUGUGGGAUGAACAGAAAGUUCGUUUACGGUGCCCAACUGCAUGCAAACCUAGAUCCCACAAAGGGUGUUUGUCGAUUAAGACAGUAGGACGGUGGUCAUGGAAGUCAAAAUUCGCUAAGAAGUUUGUAACAACUCAUAUGUCGAAUCAACAAGCCCCAAAAAUGGAUGGUACUGAAGUGCGUGACUUAUACUCGAUGGUUGAUGACAAUGUUAGGGAGUCCGGAGACGUCGUCGAGGGCCUUAGAAAGAGUUAUCUUUUCUGUUUAAUAGCUUGUCCACCAUAGAAACGGCUCGAUCGGAGGUAGGGUUCAGUGACUGGAAAAGCAUCACACGUCUCAUGAUGUCCGGUGCGCCCCCGAUGACCCGUGAAAAUCCAGAAGACCGAGUACCAUCCGCACCCGAUCAUACUUAUAACUGCAUCAGGUCUCCAAGGUAAAAAACCUCUGGUCAAUGGAACAAUGUAGGCAAGAGAAGUCAGUAAAAUGGAUCCGUAAGCUCGGGAAAAGGAUUGGCUCUAAGGGCUGGGCAUCCUGAACCCAUUGACUGUCGAUGGACUAUUCGAUCUGCUCCCGCGAUGAGAGCGGGCCGAUGCGUGCCGACCGGGGGACGGACUGGGAACAUUUCCUUCGGGGGCCUUCUCCGAGCGUCGAACGAUCGACUAAGAACUAGUAUAGACAAGGGAAAUCCGACUGUUUAAUUAUAACAAAGGAUUGCGAUGGUCCCCAUGGAUGUUCACGCAACUUGAUUUCUGCCCAGUGCUCUGAAUGUCAAAGUGAAGAAAUUCAACCAAGCGCGGGUAAACGGCGGGAGUAACUAUGACUCUCCUAAGGUAGCCAAAUGCCUCAUCAUUUAAUUAGUGAUGCACAUGAAUGUAUUAAUGAGAUUUCCCACUGUCCCUGUCUACUAUCCAGCGAAACUACAGCCAAGGGAACGGGCUUGGCAGAAUCGACGGGGAAAGAAGACCCUAUUGUGCUUGACUCUAGUUUGACUUUGUAAAAUGACUUGAGAGGUGUAGAAUAAGUGGGAACCGAAAGGCGAAAGAUUAAUACCACUACUUUUAAAGUUAUUUUACUUAUUUCGUGAAUCGGACGCGGGCACUGCUCCUCUUUUUGGACCUAAGGCUCACUUCAUGGGCUGAUCUGGGUGGAAUACAUUGUCAGGUGGGGAGUUUGACUGGGAUGGCACAUCUAUUAAAAGAUAAUGCAGGUGUCCAAAGAUGAGCUCAAAGAGAACAGAAAUCUAGUUUGGAACAGAAGGGUAAAAGCUCAUUUAAUUCUGAUUUCUAGUACGAAUAUGAAUCAUGAAAGCAUGGCCUAACGAUCCUUUAGACCUUUGAAAUUUGAGACUAGAGGUGUCAAAAAAGUUACCACAGGGAAAACUGGCUUGUGGCAGCCAAGCGUUCAUAUCGACGUUGCUUUUUGAUCCUUCAAUGUUGGCUCUUCUUAUCAUUGUGAAGGAAAAUUCACCGAGUGUUGGAUUGUACACCCACCAUUAGGGAACGUGAGCUGGAUUAUGACUGAAUGCUUGAUAGAUUAGUUUUAUCCUACUGAUGAUAGGGUCGCAAUAGUAAUUCAACCUAGUACGAGAGGAACCAUUGAUUCGCACAAUUGGUCAUCACACUUGGUUGAAAAGCCAGUGGCAUGAAGCUACCGUGCGCUAGAUUAUGAUUGAAUGACUCUAAGUCAGAAUUCAGGCUAGAGGCGAUGCGUACACCCGUCGACCACUUUCUGACCCACAGUAGGGGCCUUACGGCCCCCAGGGGUACAUGUCAUUGGCCAAGCUCUC